AGUACCCGUACCGGUACGGGAUCGUGUACCGGUACACGAUCUCAGAUUUCGAAAAUUUGAUUUGAAAAUCCAUCACAUUUAAAUUAAUUUCAUAUAAAUUAAGACUUUUACUCCAAAAAUCAUUACAAUGAAAAUAAUAUAUUAUAAAAUUUCAAAAUACAUCGAAACAUCAAAAAUUUCACAAUCAAAACUGAUUUCAAGUUUCAAAAUUAUCAAGAUGUAAGUUGAUGAAAAAUGAUUUUUAGAAAUUCAACAAAAUUGAUACCAAUUUAUCGCAAUAUGUUCAAAAUAGAGAUUUAACUAAUAUGACACCGGGGGUGGCUCUUUGAGCAUCUUUUCAACUUACCACCUUAUAACUCCGAAAAAUCUAAAAUAUUCAUUUUUUUUCAACCUUUUUCGGUUACUCAAUUCAAUUUUCAUGUGGUAGCUUCACACACUUGCCAGACGACCGGGGUGGUAGCUCUUUCCUACAUGUGGUGGUAGUUUUCACACUCCUUUUAGGAUAUAACUCUUUCCACAUCUUUUAAACAUAGAAGUUUCUUUUUCUCCUUUUUUUUAAAAACAAUUUCAAACUCCCCCUAAAUUGGACAAUCUCACAGUUGAAAAUAAUUUUGACGAAUUUUAGUCAAUUAGAGAAUAUCUAUUCAUCAUAUCCAACACUCACAACCAAGAUGAAUUAAUCACCAAAAAUCCAAAUUUGAUUUCAAAGUUUUGAUGAAUAUAUGCAUUAAGAAAUCAUAUAUUAAAUUAUCGUCAAAAUAAUAAAAAGUGGAGUAAAAACGAUAAUUAAUAUGAAUUUAACUUAAUAUGAUUGUGAAGUGAAACACCGUUUAAACAA
rnacentral:lncRNA from 1 species